rnacentral:rRNA from 1 species
CGCUGUCUCCACCCGAGACUCAGUGAAAUUGAAAUCGCAGUGAAGAUGCUGUGUACCCGCGGCUAGACGGAAAGACCCCGUGAACCUUUACUACAGCUUGGCACUGAACAUUGAACCUACAUGUGUAGGAUAGGUGGGAGACUUUGAAGAUGAGACGCUAGUCUUGUUGGAGUCGUCCUUGAAAUACCACCCUUGUAGUUUUGAUGUUCUAACGUUGGCCCCUGAAUCGGGGUUACGGACAGUGCCUGGUGGGUAGUUUGACUGGGGCGGUCUCCUCCCAAAGAGUAACGGAGGAGCACGAAGGUUGGCUAAGUACGGUCGGACAUCGUACGGUUAGUGUAAUGGUAGAAGCCAGCUUAACUGCGAGACAGACACGUCGAGCAGGUACGAAAGUAGGUCAUAGUGAUCCGGUGGUUCUGAAUGGAAGGGCCAUCGCUCAACGG